rnacentral:antisense_RNA from 1 species
UGCAAAAAGGGGACGGAGGGGAUUAAGUCGUUUGUGGCACAAACGACUUAAUCCCCUCCGUCCCUUUUUUGUC